CCUUAUGAAGGAAGCAGAGUUGGAAAAACAGAAUUUCAUCAAGCAGUUGGAAGAGGCAUCUAAAUCCUUUUUGAAGGAAUUCUGCAGCCUUUCCUGCGGCCUGUCCCGGUACCGACCCUAUGAAGUGGCACAGUGCAGAAACUGCCGACUUCUCAGAGUUUCC